rnacentral:rRNA from 1 species
UACAGAGGUCUCGAGCGUUGUUCGGAUUCAUUGGGCGUAAAGGGUGCGUAGGUGGCGCUGUAAGUCGGGUGUGAAAUUUCGGAGCUUAACUCCGAAACUGCAUUCGAUACUGCGGUGCUUGAGGACUGGAGAGGAGACUGGAAUUCAUGGUGUAGCAGUGAAAUGCGUAGAGAUCAUGAGGAAGACCAGUGGCGAAGGCGGGUCUCUGGGACGGUACUGACGCUGAGACGCGAAAGCGUGGGGAGCGAACAGG